rnacentral:rRNA from 1 species
GUCGAGCGGCGGACGGGUGAGUAAUGCCUGGGAAAUUGCCCUGAUGUGGGGGAUAACCAUUGGAAACGAUGGCUAAUACCGCAUAAUAGCUUCGGCUCAAAGAGGGGGACCUUCGGGCCUCUCGCGUCAGGAUAUGCCCAGGUGGGAUUAGCUAGUUGGUGAGGUAAUGGCUCACCAAGGCGACGAUCCCUAGCUGGUCUGAGAGGAUGAUCAGCCACACUGGAACUGAGACACGGUCCAGACUCCUACGGGAGGCAGCAGUGGGGAAUAUUGCACAAUGGGCGCAAGCCUGAUGCAGCCAUGCCGCGUGUGUGAAGAAUGCCUUCAGGUUGUAAAACACUUUUAGUCGUGAAGAACGUAGUGUAGUUAAUAGUUGCAUUAUUCGACGUAGCACAGCACGAAGCACCGGCUACCUCCGUGCCAGCAGCCGCGGUAAUACGGAGGGUGCGAGCGUUAAUCGGAAUUACUGAGCGUAAAGCGCAUGCAGGUGGUUAGUUAAGUCAGAUGUGAAAGCCCGGGGCUCAACCUCGGAACUGCAUUUGAAACUGGCUGACUAGAGUACUGUAGAGGGGGGGUAGAAUUUCAGGUGUAGCGGUGAAAUGCGUAGAGAUCUGAAGGAAUACCGGUGGCGAAGGCGGCCCCCCUGGACAGAUACUGACACUCAGAUGCGAAAGCGUGGGGAGCAAACAGGAUUAGAUACCCUGGUAGUCCACGCCGUAAACGAUGUCUACUUGGAGGUUGUGGCCUUGAGCCGUGGCUUUCGGAGCUAACGCGUUAAGUAGACCGCCUGGGGAGUACGGUCGCAAGAUUAAAACUCAAAUGAAUUGACGGGGGCCCGCACAAGCGGUGGAGCAUGUGGUUUAAUUCGAUGCAACGCGAAGAACCUUACCUACUCUUGACAUCCAGAGAACUUAGCAGAGAUGCUUUGGUGCCUUCGGGAACUCUGAGACAGGUGCUGCAUGGCUGUCGUCAGCUCGUGUUGUGAAAUGUUGGGUUAAGUCCCGCAACGAGCGCAACCCUUAUCCUUGUUUGCCAGCACUUCGGGUGGGAACUCCAGGGAGACUGCCGGUGAUAAACCGGAGGAAGGUGGGGACGACGUCAAGUCAUCAUGGCCCUUACGAGUAGGGCUACACACGUGCUACAAUGGCGCAUACAGAGGGCGGCCAACUUGCGAAAGUGAGCGAAUCCCAAAAAGUGCGUCGUAGUCCGGAUUGGAGUCUGCAACUCGACUCCAUGAAGUCGGAAUCGCUAGUAAUCGUGGAUCAGAAUGCCACGGUGAAUACGUUCCCGGGCCUUGUACACACCGCCCGUCACACCAUGGGAGUGGGCUGCAAAAGAAGGGGUAGUUUAACCUU